rnacentral:rRNA from 1 species
AAUAGAUACCCGGGUAGUCCACGCCGUAAACGGUGGGCACUAGGUGUGGGCGGCAUUCCACGUCGUCCGUGCCGUAGCUAACGCAUUAAGUGCCCCGCCUGGGGAGUACGGCCGCAAGGCUAAAACUCAAAGGAAUUGACGGGGGCCCGGCACAAGCGGCGGAGCAUGUGGCUUAAUUCGACGCAACGCGAAGAACCUUACCAAGGCUUGACAUACACCGGAAAACCGUGGAGACACGGUCCCCCUUGUGGUCGGUGUACAGGUGGUGCAUGGCUGUCGUCAGCUCGUGUCGUGAGAUGUUGGGUUAAGUCCCGCAACGAGCGCAACCCUUGUCCCGUGUUGCCAGCAGGCCCUUGUGGUGCUGGGGACUCACGGGAGACCGCCGGGGUCAACUCGGAGGAAGGUGGGGGCGACGUCAAGUCAGUCAUGCCCCUUAUGUCUUGGGCUGCACACGUGCUACAAUGGCCGGUACAAUGAGCUGCGAUACCGCGAGGUGGAGCGAAUCUCAAAAAGCCGGUCUCAGUUCGGAUUGGGGUCUGCAACUCGACCCC